GAAUAUUUGACAAUGGGCGAAAGCCUGAUCCAGCCAUGCCGCGUGUGUGAAGAAGGUCUUCGGAUUGUACAGCACUUUAAGUUGGGAGGAAGGGCAGUAAGCGAAUCCCUUGCUGUUUUGACGUUACCGACCGCAUACGCACCGGCUCACUCUGUUCCAGCAGCCGCGGUAAUACAGAGGGUGCAAGCGUUAAUCGGAAUUACUGGGCGUAAAGCGCGCGUAGGUGGGUCGUUAAGUUGGAUGUGAAAUCCCCGGGCUCAACCUGGGAACUGCAUCCAAAACUGGCGAGCUAGAGUAGGGCAGAGGGUGGUGGAAUUUCCUGUGUAGCGGUGAGAUGCGUAGAUAUAGGAAGGAACACCAGUGGCGAAGGCGACCACCUGGGCUCAUACUGACACUGAGGUGCGAAAGCGUGGGGAGCAAACA
rnacentral:rRNA from 1 species